CUUUGCCUAUUCCAACCAGAACAUCCAACAUCAGAUAGUCAUCCAGCUGAUGGUACAGACGGCAGGAUCGUGGCCAUUCCACAGACAACUAUGCAAAAACACCUACAGACGGCAUUGCUCCUAUAGUCAACCUGAGACCAGAAAACUCUCUGUCCCCUCAUCAGCAAGAAGUAGCCAGAAAGAACAUGCUACCCCUCAUCUUUGUUAUAACUAUGGUGUCUGGAUUGACAGAGUAGGAGCGUCGCCAUCUUGGACAAGCCCCUCAUUCUAAAGUUCACCUUGAUCAAAAACUGCCUAAAUCCAAAGGGCGUCAGCCUAAUGGCUAAGGUCAGCACAACCAUAAACCACAAAUAACAUCUCCAAACAGAAACAUUCCAAACUCCUCAACGACCAGAGACAUGCUAGCCCCAAGAUAACCUCCCUCCGGCCAGGAAGACGCCAGCCUUGUGAUAACCCCUCUCUGGCCAGAAAGAUGUUAUCCCCAAGAUAACCUCCCCUCCACCCAGAGACAUUUCAAUCCCUCCAUAAAACUUCUCCCUCACACAGAAGAAUUCCAAGCUUGUGAUAGGCACCCUCACCCUAAAACCAAUAUAUACUCUUAGUCUGUAAGAGAAAGUGCUCCUGACCAAAAUUGGCCAGAAGCCCCACAGUUAUAUUUUCUCAAAAAUAAAUCUGUCUCUAACUGUUGAGCCGCAUUUUGUGUUUCUUUACUCUUUCUUUAACUCUUACACAAAGCAUUAUGGAUUUGUGUUUUGAGCUCUCCAAGUUUGUUUGAGCAAAUUUCUAAUCCAAACUUGGUUAGAAAUUUAUGACAGAAAUAUGACUGGGUUCAGGAUCCCAUUGGAUUUGAUAAUUAACUGGAUGGAAUCCAGUUAGAGGUCCCUUUUCUCUGAAUAGGUCAGAUAUCAA
rnacentral:lncRNA from 10 species